AACCCCGGGCCGCUGAAGCGAAGCAUGAAACCUAACCGCUGCACCACUGGCCUGGCCCCAAGUAAACGUCAUUGUUGAAAACAGAUUAGGAGUUAUAUUAAGCCUAGCUCCAAGAGACAGCAAACUAAAUUUAAGAGAAGUAGUCAAGAGUUCAGAAAGUCUCCAGUAAUGGAAAGAGCUUCAGAAGUUUGUUGAGAGCAUGCAUCAAACGGCUGUGAUCUCUGUCUUACAUCUGUUACCAUCCGGAGAAGCCUAAAUCGCUCUGCUGCCCGAAGUUAAAGGCUAUGAUCCCAGAGCCAGGUAUUGUCAUCAAUAAGCCAAAAAAGUUUGGGUGAAUUUAAUUUAAACACAAAGGAAAAUCAGAGUUAAAAUAAGAAAAUAUGAAGAUCCCUUCAAAAGAAUCAUCAAGACAGUAUGUCCUGACCUCCUGGACCUCCUUGAGUAGAGUUUAUGCCAAAUCUCCCCAUUAGGUAGCUGGGGCUGCCUAAGUCCUGCAUCGGAAGUGGAAAACUCCCAGACAGGACAGUUCCAUCAACACUGACCUGGAAUGCAGACAAUAUGAGAAACAACUGAAACAGACCCUCAACAGACUUGUAGCAUGAGAAAGAAGGAAACUCGUUUUAUGGUUUUUUAUUACUGUAACAUGACCUAGCCUGUCCUGACUGGACCCCAACUAAUACAAUAAAUC
rnacentral:lncRNA from 1 species